UGUCCAGUAGCACCUUAUAGACCAACUAAGUUUGUUCUGGUAUACGCUUUCGUGUGCAUGCACGAAGACCAAACUUAGUUGGUCUAUAAGGUGCUACUGAACA